CAGAAAAAUGGCAAAUAUUUACGGCAUACCACGACGUUACCGAUUUCAUUGCUUUUAAUUUUUAAAAACUAUUUUUUCUACCAAAAAUAUUGCUCCAAUAGAAAAAGGACCAGAAACCUUUUUUUGUUGCAUUGCUCAUGAUGAGAGUGUUGUUUUUUAAUGCUCAAGUAGUUCUGUUAUCAUCAAGCCAAACCGAAAAACUUAGAAAGAACG